GUUGGUUACAGUGGUUCGGUUGUAUCGGAAAGACAUAAUCACUUUAUUGGCAUCAAAUGCCCUGGGAUAAAGAUGUGGUGGGACCUAAUAAUUGUUAGGUGAGGGAUCCAAUAACAGUUUUGCACUCGCUGGUAAAUGGUGGGUCGACUUAACUAAGGAAUGUGUCAAUAACUGUUAGGUGAGGCCACAGGACUUAGAGACCAUGUCACUGUAACAU
rnacentral:lncRNA from 1 species